rnacentral:rRNA from 1 species
UACAGAGGAUGCAAGCGUUAUCCGGAAUGAUUGGGCGUAAAGCGUCUGUAGGGGGCUUUUUAAGUCUGCCGUCAAAUCCCAGGGCUUAACCCUGGACAGGCGGUGGAAACUACCAAGCUGGAGUACGGUAGGGGCAGGGGGAAUUUCCGGUGGAGCGGUGAAAUGCGUAGAGAUCGGAAAGAACACCAACGGCGAAAGCACUCUGCUGGGCCGACACUGACACUGAGAGACGAAAGCUAGGGGAGCGAAUGGG